rnacentral:rRNA from 1 species
AUGAACGCUGGCGGCGUGUCUAAGGCAUGCAAGUCGAGUGCACUUCGGGUGCACGGCAGACGGGAGCGUAACACAUUGGUAAUCCACCCCUAAGAGGAGGAUAACUCUCUGAAAAGAGAGCUAAUACUCCAUGUGCUCCGCAUUUAUAUGAGUGCGGAGUAAAGGUUUACUGCUUAGGGAGGAGCCUAUGCCCUAUCAGCUAGUUGGUGAGGUAAUAGCUCACCAAGGCUUUGACGGGUACCGGGUGUGAGAGCAUGACCCGGCUCAAUGGGACUGAGACACUGCCCAUACUUCUACGGAAGGCUGCAGUCGAGAAUAUUCCACAAUGGCCGCAAGGCUGAUGGAGCGACGCCGCGUGAAGGAAGAAUCCCCAUCGGGGUGUAAACUUCUUUUUUUAGGGACGAACAAAUGACGGUACCUAAAGAAUAAGAGGCUGCUAACUUCGU